GUGUAACUGCCUCUGUGUCAGUCAGCGCAGUAUUUCUGAGUUAUUUAUUUUGGUAGGAACCAAAGUUCUCUAAGGCGGAACCUUUGUUUUUGUAUCGCCCGUUUUCCGUCAGGACAUACUUUAGCGUAACACUCAUCAAAAAAGUCCGCUGAUUUAGUACAUGUUUUUCAGUGCUGAUGCAUCUGCAAAAUAGCUCUUAGCAUCAAGAUAAAUAAUCCUACAGAGUAAUGCCAAGCUACACAACUUUCCUCAUGCAAUGCAGCUACUAAGUUUUCACGGUCUGGAUGAACCAAAUAAAUCCUGCCAGUAAACAAAAAGGAAACUCGUUGCUGUCGUUUGUACUGAGGGAAUUAUAGUGAAAACUUAGCUGCUCACGAAGACAGCACCAAAGAGCAGUGAAUGACAACAGUAAGGCAAGUAAGAUGUCCCGAAAUGGCGAAGAGCACACAAUUGCAGAUGUACAUUUCCCAGACAUGGAGUCACACGCACCUGACAAGACAGAGUGUGUGCACGAGCACAGCUCAACCGUGCAGCCACAAGCGACUGAAGGCAUCAUAGUGGACAACCCCGCUUCCUCAGAAGAGCCACCAUUAGGCCAAAGAGUCCGCAGAAUGACGGAAAAGGGUCAAGAACAGCAUGAUGAGCAAGUAAUAAAGGUUGCACAUCGGUUCAGUGUGUGCUAUGAGAAGUGGAAGGAUGCCACUAAAGAAGCCAACCAAGCACUGAGUGGAAAGUGCUCAGACGACCUGCUAGAUGGACAAAUUACUAAAGUACGCAAUACCUCUAGGAGUCUAAAUGACGUUUACGACGAUUGGAAACGCCUUGAGGUUCCUGACCUUAACACACGUCGCAAAAUCGACACCUGUGAAACAGUAACAAAGAAGAUGGUUAAGGAUGCAAUGGACCUUAUAGAUGCAAGGGAGGAAGCUACAGCCCAUAGGCAUACUACAAGUCAAAGACAUGAAGAACAUCGAGUCAUUGAAGAGGUAAUGUCUGUAGCCUCAAGAAGGACAGGCACUAGCUCUCGCCACACUAAGUGCUCCUCUGCAAGCAGGAAGAGUGCAGCUGCUGAGGUUGCUGCCAACAAAGCCACCUUAGAAGUACAGCUGGAGCAAGAGCAUUAUAUUAAAGAGCUUCAGAGCCUGGAAGUUGAAGCCGCUCAGCUAAAAGCCAAACAAGAGGCUGAAAAUGCAGAGAGACAAAGAGUGCUAGAAGCCAAGCGCAGAGAACUAGAUCGAUUGGAGACUAUUAAGAAGCUAAAGGCUGCCGAGGCACGACAGCAAGUAUAUGACCAGAGUAUACAUUCAUGUCCGGCAACUAAGGGCGACGGCUCAGAUGAAGAAAUAAAUUAUCUUCUCCAUUGUGGCUCUGUGAAGAAAGAAGAGGAAGUCAAGCCUCAAACUAUAAAUGUUCUUCUCCAUCGUGUCUCUGUGAAGAAAGAAGAAGUCAAGCCUCAAACUAGCCCACUGCGGCACCAUUCUACACCACCAGCUGUAGCACAAGCAAGGCAAGAAAACAAAUAUGAAGAUGGCACAACAGCUCUCGUCAAAGCGCUCGCAGAAGCCAUCAGUGCGAGUCGCAUUCCUCUACCUGAACCUACAGUGUUCAGUGGUGACCCACUCCGAUUCAACGACUGGAAAGUGUCCUUUCAGACGCUCGUUGACAGGAAGAACAUACCAGCUGAAGAGAAGAUAUAUUAUCUACGCAAGUAUGUGGGUGGAUCUGCUAAAAGGGCC
ensembl:lncRNA